UAAGCAUAUCAAUAAGCGGAGGAAAAGAAACCAACAGGGAUUGCCUCAGUAACGGCGAAGUGAAGCGGCAACAGCUCAAAUUUGAAAUCUGGCUCCCUCGGGGCCCGAGUUGUAAUUUGGAGAAGAUGCUUCGGGUGUGGCCCCGGUCUAAGUUCCUUGGAACAGGACGUCACAGAGGGUGAGAAUCCCGUACGUGACCGGUGGCCGCCCCCGUGUGAAGCUCUUUCGACGAGUCGAGUUGUUUGGGAAUGCAGCUCAAAAUGGGUGGUAAAUUUCAUCUAAAGCUAAAUAUUGGCCAGAGACCGAUAGCGCACAAGUAGAGUGAUCGAAAGAUGAAAAGCACUUUGGAAAGAGAGUUAAACAGUACGUGAAAUUGUUGAAAGGGAAGCGCUUGCAACCAGACUUGCGCGCGGCCGAUCAUCCGGUGUUCGCACCGGUGCACUCGGUCGCGCUCAGGCCAGCAUCGGUUUGGGUGGCUAGAUAAAGGCCUCGGGAAUGUGGCUCCCCUCGGGGAGUGUUAUAGCCCGAGGUGCAAUGUAGCCUACCUGGACCGAGGACCGCGCUCCGGCUAGGAUGCUGGCGUAAUGGUUGUAAGCGACCCGUCUUGAAACACGGACCAAGGAGUCUAACAUCUAUGCGAGUGUUUGGGUGUCAAACCCAUACGCGUAAUGAAAGUGAACGGAGGUGAGAACCCUUAAGGGUGCAUCAUCGACCGAUCCUGAUGUCUUCGGAUGGAUUUGAGUAAGAGCAUAGCUGUUGGGACCCGAAAGAUGGUGAACUAUGCCUGAAUAGGGUGAAGCCAGAGGAAACUCUGGUGGAGGCUCGCAGCGGUUCUGACGUGCAAAUCGAUCGUCAAAUUUGGGCAUAGGGGCGAAAGACUAAUCGAACCAUCUAGUAGCUGGUUCCUGCGA
rnacentral:rRNA from 1 species